rnacentral:rRNA from 1 species
CGGUCCAGACUCCUACGGGAGGCAGCAGUAGGGAAUCUUCCGCAAUGGGCGAAAGCCUGACGGAGCAACGCCGCGUGAGUGAUGAAGGGUUUCGGCUCGUAAAACUCUGUUAUUAGGGAAGAACAUAUGUGUAAGUAACUGUGCACAUCUUGACGGUACCUAAUCAGAAAGCCACGGCUAACUACGUGCCAGCAGCCGCGGUAA